rnacentral:rRNA from 1 species
AGAACGAACGCUGGCGGCAGGCUUAACACAUGCAAGUCGAGCGCUGUAGCAAUACAGAGCGGCAGACGGGUGAGUAACGCGUGGGAACAUACCCUCCGGUUCGGAAUAACUCAGGGAAACUUGAGCUAAUACCGAAUACGGUCGAGAGGCGAAAGAUUUAUCGCCGGAGGAUUGGCCCGCGUUCGAUUAGCUAGUUGGUGAGGUAACGGCUCACCAAGGCGACGAUCGAUAGCUGGUCUGAGAGGAUGAUCAGCCACAUUGGGACUGAGACACGGCCCAAACUCCUACGGGAGGCAGCAGUGGGGAAUAUUGGACAAUGGGCGAAAGCCUGAUCCAGCCAUGCCGCGUGAGUGAUGACGGCCUUAGGGUUGUAAAGCUCUUUCGCUAGGGACGAUAAUGACGGUACCUAGACAAGAAGCCCCGGCUAACUACGUGCCAGCAGCCGC